UUAAGUUAUUAAGGGCGCACGGUGGAUGCCUUGGCACUAGAAGCCGAUGAAGGACGUUACUAACGACGAUAUGCUUUGGGGAGCUGUAAGUAAGCUUUGAUCCAGAGAUUUCCGAAUGGGGAAACCCAGCAUGAGUUAUGUCAUGUUAUCGAUAUGUGAAUACAUAGCAUAUCAGAAGGCACACCCGGAGAACUGAAACAUCUUAGUACCCGGAGGAAGAGAAAGAAAAUUCGAUUCCCUUAGUAGCGGCGAGCGAAACGGGAAGAGCCCAAACCAAAAAGCUUGCUUGUUGGGGUUGUAGGACACUCUAUACGGAGUUACAAAGGACGACAUUAGACGAAUCAUCUGGAAAGAUGAAUCAAAGAAGGUAAUAAUCCUGUAGUCGAAAAUGUUGUCUCUCUUGAGUGGAUCCUGAGUACGACGGAGCACGUGAAAUUCCGUCGGAAUCUGGGAGGACCAUCUCCUAAGGCUAAAUACUCUCUAGUGACCGAUAGUGAACCAGUACCGUGAGGGAAAGGUGAAAAGCACCCCGGAAGGAGAGUGAAAUAGAACCUGAAACCGUGUGCUUACAAGUAGUCAGAGCCCGUUAAUGGGUGAUGGCGUGCCUUUUGUAGAAUGAACCGGCGAGUUACGAUUUGAUGCAAGGUUAAGCAGUAAAUGUGGAGCCGUAGCGAAAGCGAGUCUGAAUAGGGCGUUUAGUAUUUGGUCGUAGACCCGAAACCAGGUGAUCUACCCUUGGUCAGGUUGAAGUUCAGGUAACACUGAAUGGAGGACCGAACCGACUUACGUUGAAAAGUGAGCGGAUGAACUGAGGGUAGCGGAGAAAUUCCAAUCGAACCUGGAGAUAGCUGGUUCUCUCCGAAAUAGCUUUAGGGCUAGCCUCAAGUGAUGAUUAUUGGAGGUAGAGCACUGUUUGGACGAGGGGCCCCUCUCGGGUUACCGAAUUCAGACAAACUCCGAAUGCCAAUUAAUUUAACUUGGGAGUCAGAACAUGGGUGAUAAGGUCCGUGUUCGAAAGGGAAACAGCCCAGACCACCAGCUAAGGUCCCAAAAUAUAUGUUAAGUGGAAAAGGAUGUGGCGUUGCCCAGACAACUAGGAUGUUGGCUUAGAAGCAGCCAUCAUUUAAAGAGUGCGUAAUAGCUCACUAGUCGAGUGACACUGCGCCGAAAAUGUACCGGGGCUAAACAUAUUACCGAAGCUGUGGAUUGUCCUUUGGACAAUGGUAGGAGAGCGUUCUAAGGGCGUUGAAGCAUGAUCGUAAGGACAUGUGGAGCGCUUAGAAGUGAGAAUGCCGGUGUGAGUAGCGAAAGACGGGUGAGAAUCCCGUCCACCGAUUGACUAAGGUUUCCAGAGGAAGGCUCGUCCGCUCUGGGUUAGUCGGGUCCUAAGCUGAGGCCGACAGGCGUAGGCGAUGGAUAACAGGUUGAUAUUCCUGUACCACCUAUAAUCGUUUUAAUCGAUGGGGGGACGCAGUAGGAUAGGCGAAGCGUGCGAUUGGAUUGCACGUCUAAGCAGUAAGGCUGAGUAUUAGGCAAAUCCGGUACUCGUUAAGGCUGAGCUGUGAUGGGGAGAAGACAUUGAGUCUUCGAGUCGUUGAUUUCACACUGCCGAGAAAAGCCUCUAGAUAGAAAAUAGGUGCCCGUACCGCAAACCGACACAGGUAGUCAAGAUGAGAAUUCUAAGGUGAGCGAGCGAACUCUCGUUAAGGAACUCGGCAAAAUGACCCCGUAACUUCGGGAGAAGGGGUGCUCUUUAGGGUUAACGCCCAGAAGAGCCGCAGUGAAUAGGCCCAAGCGACUGUUUAUCAAAAACACAGGUCUCUGCUAAACCGUAAGGUGAUGUAUAGGGGCUGACGCCUGCCCGGUGCUGGAAGGUUAAGAGGAGUGGUUAGCUUCUGCGAAGCUACGAAUCGAAGCCCCAGUAAACGGCGGCCGUAACUAUAACGGUCCUAAGGUAGCGAAAUUCCUUGUCGGGUAAGUUCCGACCCGCACGAAAGGCGUAACGAUUUGGGCACUGUCUCAACGAGAGACUCGGUGAAAUCAUAGUACCUGUGAAGAUGCAGGUUACCCGCGACAGGACGGAAAGACCCCGUGGAGCUUUACUGUAGCCUGAUAUUGAAAUUCGGCACAGCUUGUACAGGAUAGGUAGGAGCCUUUGAAACGUGAGCGCUAGCUUACGUGGAGGCGCUGGUGGGAUACUACCCUAGCUGUGUUGGCUUUCUAACCCGCACCACUUAUCGUGGUGGGAGACAGUGUCAGGCGGGCAGUUUGACUGGGGCGGUCGCCUCCUAAAAGGUAACGGAGGCGCUCAAAGGUUCCCUCAGAAUGGUUGGAAAUCAUUCAUAGAGUGUAAAGGCAUAAGGGAGCUUGACUGCGAGACCUACAAGUCGAGCAGGGUCGAAAGACGGACUUAGUGAUCCGGUGGUUCCGCAUGGAAGGGCCAUCGCUCA
rnacentral:rRNA from 1 species